rnacentral:rRNA from 1 species
UGAGGAAUAUUGGUCAAUGGGCGCAAGCCUGAACCAGCCAUGCCGCGUGCAGGAAGAAUGCCCUAUGGGUUGUAAACUGCUUUUAUUUGGGAAUAAACCUUUCUACGUGUAGGAAGCUGAAGGUACCAAAUGAAUAAGCACCGGCUAACUCCGUGCCAGCAGCCGCGGUAAUACGGAGGGUGCAAGCGUUAUCCGGAAUCAUUGGGUUUAAAGGGUCCGCAGGCGGAUUUAUAAGUCAGUGGUGAAAGCCUACAGCUUAACUGUAGAACUGCCAUUGAUACUGUAAGUCUUGAAUUCGGUCGAAGUGGGCGGAAUGUGUAGUGUAGCGGUGAAAUGCAUAGAUAUUACACAGAACACCGAUAGCGAAGGCAGCUCACUAGGCCUGGAUUGACGCUCAGGGACGAAAGCGUGGGGAUCAAACA